rnacentral:lncRNA from 1 species
CCGCGUCCGAGACGCGCGCGGGACCCAGAAGUGGCCGAGGGACGUGGUUGUGUCGUGGAGGGGACCCGGGGUGCUGGCUGCUCCCUACGAUCUGGCACCCGCUCUGGGACUCCUCAGGCCUCGCUUUUCCCCAUCUGUAGAAUGAGCGGCUCGGUCUUUCCCGUCUUCAAUAUCCAGAGUAGGGAUUUAGAAGUCGGAGCGCACACGCUGGCCACGCCUCCGCGCACAGCUUCAGAUCUCUGCCACCCCUUAUCACUUGUGUGAC